UUAAUAUUAAGGGAGUCUUCCACUUCCUGAUUUGUGUAUGUUUGCUGAAUCAGUAUUAAUAUUUCAGAUUUGUGGCUGGUAAGUAAUCCACUCUAAUUCGAUUGUGUGUAUGUAUGAGAUUCAACCCGAGAAUGUGAUUGCUUUCCUACAGAUCGAGAAUCAAGGAACAAUGGUGGUGGUGCAAGCACCAGGCCAGCGGCGGCUUAGGGUUAGGGGUUCAACAAGGGUCAUUGACGAUGUGCUAGCCAAGAAGUGGCAUCCAGAUGCAAAUGAAAACGAUCCAGAAGCAGUAAAAGGUUUCAGGAAGUUUCAAAGGCAUAUGUGACUACUAAGGUUCUGAAAGAUGAAGAAAAAUGAGCUCAAUCAUGAUCAGCUGUAUAGCUUGGUCAUGACACUUUUGAAGCAAGUGCUAGUGCAGCUGGUCUCGGUCAAUGGCGCAAUCCAUUUCAGGACCUCAAUGAUAUUUUCGGUUUUGGGCCAUUUGCUAGGCAAUUUACCGGCAAGGAUGCUAAGGUCGCCCUUGAACUUUCGUUUAUGGAGGUUGUUCAGGGAUGUACAAAAAAUAUAGCAACGACACUUAUAGAAACGACUUGGGUGACCUAUAGGGACGGGACUAUAGAGACAAUAUGUUGUAGAGACGACAUGUCGUCUCUACAGGUGAAAAAGGCUUAUAGAGAGGACAUGUCCUCCCACCGGCCAAAAAAAUGUCGUCCCUAUAGAAUCUUUUUCUUGUAGUGAUACCGCGCAACCUGAGACGGACUAUUUGGAUGCAGCUUUAGUUACCAUAUUUCAGAUACACAUGGAGGAAGGGCCUGGUGAUAUACUUGUUUUUUUAUCUGGUCAAGAAGAGAUUGAAUCCAUUGAGGGUCUUGUGCAUGAAAAUCUCAAGAAAUUACCUGAAGCCAAUCAGAAACUCUUAAUUUAUCCACUGUUCUCUUCUCUUCCAUCGGAGAAGCAAAUGAAAGUUUUCACACCUGCUCUAGAUGGGUUCAGAAAGGUUACACUGGCAACAAACAUUGCUGAAAUAUCAGUAACAAUACCAGGAGUCAAGUAUGUUAUUGAUCCUGGAUUGGUAGAGGUGUGCAAUUACUCUCCUGACAGUGGGAUCGAAUCUUUGAUUGUUGUUAAAACCUCGAAAGCUCAAGCUCUUCAAAGAAGGAUGAUCCCCUAUGUGUUGCUGCCAGACAAGAUGGGAAGAUAUUAGUCUCUAGUUUGUGGGUUGAUCACAGUUUCGAUGUCGGAGCGCCUGUGGAUACAACCUCAGUCACGAUAUUUAACUCGCAUGAAGAUUGUGAAAGAGAUUCAUGAACAUAAUGAAGUUUUGUGUUUUUAUUCAUACACUUGUUAGUUUAUUUGGGUUAUAUGUUUGAUCAUUAGACUUAGAUCGACACUUAUUAGCCAUUUGGAAUCUUUGUAAGAUUGAUUGAACUUCUAAUGAAGUGAUUAUUUUAUGAUUUCUACA